CUGGCGGCGUGCCUAAUACAUGCAAGUUGAGCGCUGAAGGUUGGUACUUGUACCGACUGGAUGAGCAGCGAACGGGUGAGUAACGCGUGGGGAAUCUGCCUUUGAGCGGGGGACAACAUUUGGAAACGAAUGCUAAUACCGCAUAAAAACUUUAAACACAAGUUUUAAGUUUGAAAGAUGCAAUUGCAUCACUCAAAGAUGAUCCCGCGUUGUAUUAGCUAGUUGGUGAGGUAAAGGCUCACCAAGGCGAUGAUACAUAGCCGACCUGAGAGGGUGAUCGGCCACAUUGGGACUGAGACACGGCCCAAACUCCUACGGGAGGCAGCAGUAGGGAAUCUUCGGCAAUGGACGAAAGUCUGACCGAGCAACGCCGCGUGAGUGAAGAAGGUUUUCGGAUCGUAAAACUCUGUUGGUAGAGAAGAACGUUGGUGAGAGUGGAAAGCUCAUCAAGUGACGGUAACUACCCAGAAAGGGACGGCUAACUACGUGCCAGCAGCCGCGGUAAUACGUAGGUCCCGAGCGUUGUCCGGAUUUAUUGGGCGUAAAGCGAGCGCAGGUGGUUUAUUAAGUCUGGUGUAAAAGGCAGUGGCUCAACCAUUGUAUGCAUUGGAAACUGGUAGACUUGAGUGCAGGAGAGGAGAGUGGAAUUCCAUGUGUAGCGGUGAAAUGCGUAGAUAUAUGGAGGAACACCGGUGGCGAAAGCGGCUCUCUGGCCUGUAACUGACACUGAGGCUCGAAAGCGUGGGGAGCAAACAGGAUUAGAUACCCUGGUAGUCCACGCCGUAAACGAUGAGUGCUAGAUGUAGGGAGCUAUAAGUUCUCUGUAUCGCAGCUAACGCAAUAAGCACUCCGCCUGGGGAGUACGACCGCAAGGUUGAAACUCAA
rnacentral:rRNA from 1 species